rnacentral:rRNA from 1 species
ACUCCUACGGGAGGCAGCAGUUAAGAAUCUUGGACAAUGGACGAAAGUCUGAUCCAGCGACGCCGCGUGAACGAUGAAGGUCUUCGGAUUGUAAAGUUCAGUAAGCAGGGACGAACACAAUGACGGUACCUGCCUAAAGCCUCGGCUAAAUACGUGCCAGCAGCCGCGGUAAUAC